rnacentral:rRNA from 1 species
UACGAAGGGGGCUAGCGUUGUUCGGAAUUACUGGGCGUAAAGCGCGCGCAGGCGGUCCUUCAAGUCAGAGGUGAAAGCCCAGAGCUCAACUCUGGAACGGCCUUUGAAACUAGAGGACUAGGGUACGGGAGAGGUGAGUGGAAUUCCGAGUGUAGAGGUGAAAUUCGUAGAUAUUCGGAAGAACACCAGUGGCGAAGGCGGCUCACUGGCCCGUUACCGACGCUCAGGCGCGAAAGCGUGGGGAGCAAACAGG